rnacentral:rRNA from 1 species
AAAGAUUAAGCCAUGCAUGUCUAAGUAUAAGCACUUUAUACUGUGAAACUGCGAAUGGCUCAUUAAAUCAGUUAUCGUUUAUUUGAUAGUACCUUGCUACAUGGAUACCUGUGGUAAUUCUAGAGCUAAUACAUGCUAAAAACCCCGACUUCAGGAAGGGGUGUAUUUAUUAGAUAAAAAACCAACGCCCUUCGGGGCUCCUUGGUGAAUCAUAAUAACUUAACGAAUCGCAUGGCCUUGCGCCGGCGAUGGUUCAUUCAAAUUUCUGCCCUAUCAACUUUCGAUGGUAGGAUAGUGGCCUACCAUGGUGG